CCGAGAUCAAGUAGCGAGUGUCCUUCCCUGAACUCCUCAGAUUGGCAUGAGCUCACCUGCCAAGCCGUGUUUCCUCCAGAGAUCAGGCUGGAUGAAAAGUAAGCGGCGGUGCCCAGGCCUAUCAGAUCUGUCAGCACGGCUCCUGGCAGGAAGAGGGAAUGGUAAAUGCUAUUGUAUGCACCAUUCUGCUUGGUGGGUUCCUCUCCUCGGCGGGGGAGGGGAAAAGAAACACACACACACACACAACAAGGCACGGGGUGUAUGACAAGGGGGCAGAAACAUUUAUUAUCGAAAUGGAAAUGUGGAUCUUUGUGGAUGAAGGUGUAUCUGCUUCCCAUUGUCUCUCGCAGCAGCCCAGUGAAAGGCUCCUUUGAUGGCUCCGUGUUUGUGCACCGGCUAUGAAAUUGCUUUAGAAGACAAUGAUCGUGCGUGUUUAUUGAUAAUGAAAAGGAGGGGCAGGCUGCGUUUCUCUAUUUCCCCAAGAGCAGCUGUCAAAGGCUUGCAGAGAAAAACUGGGAGACUGGGCCAGGCCGGCGAGCGGGUGAUGGACAGGGAGCCUCAUAUCUCCCAUACAGAGCUAAUGUGACCAUCUGGCCUGAUUUAACAGGGCUACUCCACUCUAACUCUUUACAAAUCCUCCAGGCUGCUCAUGCUCUACCCAACUCAUCAGCUUCCAUUAGCGGUGAAGAGAAGAAUACCUCUGUCUGACAAUCCCUGCAUGGAGCCCAUUUUCCCACACACCGAGAAGCAAUCCUCCUGGAGGAGAUACCAGCCUGUUAAACCUCUACAGACUGGCCUGGAGAGGACAUUCCAUAGCUCCCAGGGAGGCCAGGUGAAUGGGAGGAUGAAUUCCUGGGGCGCUCAUCUAGACCCAACAGUGGUUUCAGGGAAUCUGGAGCAAAUGCUGAGUCUGGAGAAGCUCUGCUUCAGCUGGUGGGGGGUAGAGAGGUGGGCAAUUUGCAGGAGCACACUGAUUAUGGGGACCUUGUAUAGAUUCAAGUCAGAACAGAAACAUAGAAUUGUAGGGUUGGCAGGGACCUCAGGUGGUCACUUCAUCCAGCCCCCCACCAGUGGCAGGAGUUUGAAGCUGAGAGCAUUUCUCAGACCUCCCUACAUUACAACUUAAGGUAGGAAGAACUUGAGUCUCAAGCUUAUUCCUGGAUUCUAGCGCUCACCAAAUGACCCUGGUUAGACCUUGGCAAGGGAAACUGAACAGAAAAACACACCCAGUCCCUGUGGGCACUCACACUCUCAAAAAUACACCCAUACCUACCUAUAUGCAAACACAUGCACAGCCACACAUGACCACCCUUGCAAAACUGUGUCCAACCAUCCAAAUGUAUGCAUAGGCACACUCUCUAACAUACAGAAGUACAUAGAUGGGGAUAAACACUCAUGCAAGUAUAAAGGCAACCUGCAAAGGUCAUCAACCCCUUUCAGCGCUAAAAGCCUGGGUCUCUAAGACCUGAGCUAAAAGAGCAACUCCACCGGCUGGUAGCUGUUGCAGGCUGUUAUCCACUGCCCAUACAUCUUCCACACACACAGACACACUCCCAUAUGCACAUAUACAUAUCCCUGCGAUGACACAAAAACACAACUCAUAUGUGGCCAAAUCCACACACACCUUCCUUGCAUCUGUGUACACACCCAAGGCUUUGACACAGGCACACCCUUGGACUCUCUCUUACACAUAUACCACCUCUCAAACAGUUAACCAAGCUCUCACACAACAAUUGCUGCUCCGACCUGGCCAGGACAGGUCUCCUCCAGCAAAACCCCAUACCAACGCAUGCACCAUAUCCUUCCCACCCCUGCCCCUGCUCCUCUCUCUUAAAGCAGCCUGAAAACAGGUUAUUAAGUCUGUGUAUAUAUAAAAACACAUAGCGUAUUCCUUUCUCCCUCAUUAGUUAAUAGCGGCUUUAAUAGGAAUGUGUCUUUUUCUUCACCUAUCCUCCCUCAGAUGAACAGUUUAAUCAUACAGUCAUGCUCAGCCAGGCUAGCUCCUUUAUCUGCACAAUAAAGAAAUGGUUUAUGGUAGAUAGACGGCUCAGACCGAGCUGUCAAUUUCACACAGGGCCUUAUCAGUGCUCGCACAUGGUGUAAGUCCGUCGGAAAUUAGACACGGGAUUCACAUGUCUAACAAGCAGGGUUAAAUGCUUUUUCUCCCCCCUUCCUUUUCUUUCUCCUUCACCCUCUCUCUUCACUGAUUACAACAUUGGUGGCAGCUUUAAAAGGACAGUUGUGCCCGCCUCCCCGGUGAAAGACAUUAAUUUAUUGUAGUUCGCUCUUUAUUUGAUUAUCGUUUUAUUAAAACCACCCCAGGCGAUAGCAUUUUUGCUAGAACAAAUCCUCGGCUCCUGCGUUUAAUCUAUUACCAGCCCAAUUUAUUGCCAGAGAAAACCAAGUGGCUCCUACUUGCUGUCGCUGUCUGAUGUCUCUCCCCGAAGGAGGAAUGGCCCAGCGAGGCCUCGGCAUGGACAGCCCCACAGCCUAUCCCCAUGCUUCUGGAACAGAGCAGUUUCCAGUGAGUAGGGACCUUGUCACAGGGUGGCUGGACCCUUGAAGGGAGGCAGUAUCAGCUCCCCUGUGCUAGAGCAGGAGUUCCCAGUUGGGCCAAUUAAGAGGGUGUGGCUACAAAGAGCCAGCUUGUCAUUAAGGAUGGAGUGUUCUGGGAGCAGCAGCCUCGGGACAUUCCCCUGGAAAAAGCUGCCAGAGUUCCCCAGGGAGAGGGGAACCUGCCGGAGGGAACAUGGUGCCCAGGGAGAAAGCCUAUGAGUGCUCAGUGCUCAGCUAGAAGAACCAAGGAAGAAUCCUGCAGCAGGCCUGAAAGGCAAAAGGGGGUAACAUCUCCUUCUGGAGCGAGAGGGGAAUAAGUUCUCUGUGGACAUUGUCUUCACCUCCCCCAACUGUUCCAGCUAUGACUCCUACCUAAUUUAUCCUGAUGGCUUUCUCUACCAAUCGCCCCUCCUGGACACAGAUGGCAGCCCCAGGAAAGACUCCCCCUUCCUCAUGAAUCUGGGACUUCAUGGGGCGUUGAUUGUCCUUGACUUUUCACCUCUUCUCCCUAUGGCUGAUACAAGUCUGAGAAGGCUGCUGGAAGAAUUAACCCCUUCUCCUCAAAAAACAGUCUGAAGCUGAGUCAUACCCUCCCUGACCACAUCUGGCAAAAGGGUCCUGGAGAGAAAGGGGUGACAUUUUUAAACUGAAACUUUUGUUUGUCAAAAAAUGCAGAUUUGGGUCUUCUGAAAUGUAUCACGAAUUUCUGCUGAAUUGCUUUGGUCCAAAAAAAAAAUUAUGAAAAAGCUCAAUGUUUUUGUUGACCCAACUUUGUUUCAAAUUUUCCUUCAAUUUUUGUUCAACUAUUACAUAAUUUGAAAUCAAAAUUAAAUGUUUUUUUCAGGUCAAACAAAACAUUUUGUUCAAACUGAAAUGAACUUUGUUUUUUUCCUUUUUCCUUUCAACAAAAUAUUCAAAUAAUUUUUUUGGUUUUGGGUCCAAACUGAAUUUUAUUCUUCUGAUUUUGGAAGUUUGGCAGUGAACUGAAAAAUCAGUUAAUUGUACUGCUCUAGUCAUGGACUGCCCCUCCAACCAAGAGCACAAAUGUAAAUAGUAGAUUUUCUCUUCACACACACACACACACACACACACACACACCACAAAGAGUUGACUUUAGAACAAGAUCCCCUGACCCUUUAACUGGCCCCUCCCACUACACAUAAAGUUCUGAGGUUCCUCCCCUUAUACACCCUUCUCACAACCCCAAAUCCCAGCUCCCUCCAUAAACCCACAAAACUCCCUGUAUUUAAAAUCACAGCCCCAAACUCAUGGGUAUCUCUGGCUGCAUCUGCAAAACCCCAGCCCGCGUCCCAGCAGCUGGAACGACUAGCACCUUCAAAACUAGCACCUCUCCAGCUCUGCUGCAAAUGGACAGGAACACCUUUACAGUGACAGUAGCUUGUUAUAGACUGCAGUAUCUGCCACAUAACAGUGGCAACAUCAAGAAGCGAUUAAUGAUGAUGGCUGGCAUUUUAUACAGUGCCUUCCAGUCCAGGGCAGUUUGCAAACCACGUAGGGACACAACCACAUGUUUCAUCCAGCCCUGGAGUUUCAGCCCCAUCUGAUGCUGUGUUAACAGCAUGUAGCAACCCUACCCAAGAUUCCGGGUAGGGAAGUAGAGAGGGAGGCUGCAUUCAUGCAUUUUAAUGGGAACUGGGCACCCAAAUCUCCUAGGCAGCAUUAAAAGUAUCUGCCUGAAUGUCUUGUAGUGGCCCAGUCUGGGUUGUUUGAGUGUACCCUAAUUUUAUUCCUGAGUGGAACCAGAUAAGUGGCAGUCACUGGGACAUGGUGGUGAGCCAACCCUUAUCCUACCUUCUGCCCACUCUCAGAGUCAUGCUAGAUCCACCCCACCCUCCACCACCUACCCCAAGCCAAGAGCUUUCUCCUGUCAAGCUGGUAAGAGACAUGCAGUGCCAAACAGCUGGGUGAUAAUGAGGGCUGGGUGAGCCAGCUGGAAAUUUCCCCAAUCUUUCACCCAAUUUUACAGCCUCACAUUUCUAAAAAUCUUUUUGCUUCUGAAUUCCACGCAGAUGGAACUGUCAAAGGGCUCUUGGCAUGGCAUUUCCAGCCAUGAAACACAGACACUCGCAGAAAACCCCACAAACAUAGGCACGCACACACACUCACACUCUCUCCUACCAGAAGAGCCCAUUUUCUGGUGGCUCUUCCAGCCAAGAAAGCCUCCAGCUGCAGACAUCCGUUAGCGAUCUCCAGUAUCUGCUCAGUGCUGCCUCCAGAAUGGCGAGAAGGGAGCAAGUCAAAUGAGUGGAUAUAGCAUGCAGGGCUCCCUCGCUGGCUGGGGUCAGGAAGGUUCCCACAGGCAGACGACAGAAAUGAACAGCAGAACAAAGCUCCAAAGAAACCUGUGGGUGUUAAAAGCUCAGCUAAGCAGCAAUUGCCAGAAUUACAGCACUGGGCACCAGGUUCCUGACACUGCAGCCCCUGUCCUGGUUCUGUUUAACAGAGUGUAGCUCCAGAGCUGUCUUUCACCUCUGCUCCUGCCGGGCUUAAGGAUGGAGAGAGCCUGUGGCUCUUAGCAUGAGGGGCAGAAGCCCUGAGUGUGAUUCUUCUCCCUCCCUGAUUUAUUAUCUCGUGUCUCAGGUAGGAUAUUGUGUGAUUAGCUUUGGACAAUUCACGCUGCUCGCAGGCUAGUGUGUGCAAUGCAUUUGGCGAUUCUUGGCCCAGUUGUGCAUCCCACAAUGAAAUCCACCCAUCACAAUCAAUACUAACUAGCCAUCCUCACUCAGCCAUCUCAGCAGGCCAAGGACCGAACUUACCCUCUCUGCAGAGGUGCUUCCUCUGCCUUAGGGCAGGUGCAAGAUGGCCAGGCCGUCCCCAUGCUGUGGAGGGGUCCAGGUCUUGCAUCUGCAGGGCUGUUGAUCCAGCAUACUUCCCCAGAGCUGCGUCAUUUAAAAUGUUAACAUAGUACAAAAACCAACCCAGAGCAGCAACGAACCAUCUAUCUGGAGUCUCCUGCUAGUCCCAGUUGCUGCUUUGGACAGUGGGUACAUUUACUGAUGGCUCACAAAUUAAGAAGUGCAAAAAAGCCUCAGCCAGAGAGAGAGGCAAAAAGAGAAGGGAGAAGUGGAUGGAACUCUUCCAAGAUUGACACACUCCCUCAUCUUCUCCCUGCUUGCUG